CUUUAUGUAUUGUACCACCUUGAUAAUUCCCGAUCUCGUCUCAGAAGCUAAGCAGGAUAGAGUUGGUUAGUAUUUGGAUGGGAGACCACAGGGAAUACACGGUGCUGUAGUGG
rnacentral:rRNA from 1 species